AUACGGAGGGGACUAGCGUUGUUCGGAAUUACUGGGCGUAAAGGGCUCGUAGGCGGUUUCGUAAGUCGGGUGUGAAAACUCAGGGCUCAACCCUGAGACGCCACUCGAUACUGCGAUGACUUGAGUCCGGUAGGGUAGCAGGGAAUUCCUGGUGUAGCGGUGAAAUGCGCAGAUAUCAGGAGGAACACCAUUAGCGAAGGCGCUGCUCUGGGCCGGUACUGACGCUGAGGAGCGAAAGCAUGGGGAGCAAACAGGAUUAGAUACCCUUGUAGUCC
rnacentral:rRNA from 1 species